rnacentral:misc_RNA from 1 species
GAUGAAGAACGCAGUGAAAUGCGAUAAGUAAUGUGAAUUGCAGAAUUCAGUGAAUCAUCGAAUCUUUGAACGCACAUUGCGCUCCCUGGUAUUCCGGGGAGCAUGCCUGUUCGAGCGUCAUUACAACCCUCAAGCUCUGCUUGGUGUUGGGCCCCGCCGCCCCGGCGGGCCCUAAAGUCAGUGGCGGUGCCGUCCGGCUCCGAGCGUAGUAAUUUUUCUCGCUUUGGAGGCCCGGGUGCGUGCUUGCCAUCAACCCCCAAUUUUUUUCAGGUUGACCUCGGAUCAGGUAGGGAUACCCGCUGAACUUAAGCAUAUCAAUAAGCGGAGG